UGAGGCUCAGAGACUUCUGUACUGCGAUGUGAUGCUGGAAGUGUUUGCACUUGUCUCAUUUGUAGGUUGUUUGCAUGAAACAGAUGAGGAGGCCUGUUCUGAGCAGAGUUUAUCUGUACAAGGAGAGUCACAGCUCAGGGCUUCUAAGACAGAGCCAGCAACCCAGAGGACCCAUCUUUGUAAGCAGUGUUUCUCAGUGUUCAAAGCUAUUCUGCACCUGACUCAGUCACAAGCAGCAGACUUUGAGCAGAAAGCAUUCUUCAGUGACGCAUGUGUGAGAGACUUCUGUUUCAGUGAAAACCCUCAGCAGCAGCAGAGGGAAGCCAGUGGAGAGAAGCCCUGGAGAGAAGCUGUGGACAGGGCCUCGUUUGUGACCACGUGCAGCUUCCGAUCUUGGGUGCCUUCAACCAAUAGAAAGGUUGGGAAAGUCUCCCCAGGCAUCUCAGGGCUUCUCCAGCACCAGGUAACUCUCAACUCUGGGGAGCCACACAGUGAAAGUGAGAUUUCACUGGAAUUUGUCCGUGGAAAAAGUCAUCACAAUUGGGGUGGACAUGAAAACGCUGCCAGCAACAGCGGGAAAGUCAUUCAACCUCAGAGUGUCUGCUCUGAAGAAGUGAAUAAUGAGGGUAACACAUUUGGGAAAGUUUCUACACGUAUAUUUAACCUCAAUCGGCAAAAGAGAGUUCACACUAGAAUAAAGCUCUGAGUGUACUGAU